rnacentral:rRNA from 1 species
CUUGAACGCUGGCGGCAGGCCUAACCCAUGCAAGUCGAACGAGUGGCGGACGGGUGAGUAAUGUCUGGGAAACUGCCUGAUGGAGGGGGAUAACUACUGGAAACGUUAGCUAAUACCUCAUACCAUCAGAUGUGCCCAGAUGGGAUUAGCUAGUAGGUGGGGUAAAGGCUCACCUAGGAGACGAUCCCUAGCUGGUCUGCUAGGAUGACCAUACACACUGGAACUUAGACACGGUCAAGACUCCGACGGGAGGCAGCAGUGGGGAAUAUUGCACAAGGGGCGCAAGCCUGAUGCAGCCAUGCCGCGUGUAUGAAGAAGGCCUUCGGGUUGUAAAGUACUUUCAGCGGGGAGGCGUUACCCGCAGAAGAAGCACCGGCUAACUCCGUGCCAGCAGCCGCGGUAAUUC